rnacentral:rRNA from 1 species
GCGGAGGAAAAGAAAAUAACAAUGAUUCCCCUAGUAACGGCGAGUGAAGAGGGAAAAGCUCAAGUUUGGAAGCUUCGUGGCAUAGCUACGACGCGUUGUAAACUGAAGUUUUUUGGGUGAUUGGGCGACCGGAUAAAUAAGUCCUUUGGAAAGGGGCAACAUAGAGGGUGACAUUCCCGUCUUUGGUCCGAGUCAGUGCAGUCGCUGCCCAGGAAACGACGAGUCAGGUUGUUUGGGAAUGCAGCCUAAAAUGGGAGGUAAAUCUCUCCUAAAGCUAAAUACUGGCGUAAGACCGAUAGCGAACAAGUACCGUGAGGGAAAGAUGAAAAGGACUUUGAAAAGAGGGUCAAAUAGUACGUGAAAUUGUUGAAAGGGAACCGUAUGAAAGUAGACUGGCUUGGUGAUGAUCAAUGUGUGUUUCGGCACGCAUGCACUCAUUGCCUUUGCCAGCCAGCGGCAGUUUUUGCUAAAGGAAGAAAAUCAGGGGAAUGUAGCUUCGAUUUCGGUUGAAGUGUUAUAGCUCCUGGUAAAAUACUUUGGCAGAGACUGAGGCUAGCAGCGGAUCUUUGGGAACUUUGCGCGCUUGUCGUCCAAUGGUCAAGUUUUCUUCGGAUGCUUGGUCAUUGGGUGGCAACUCGUGUGAUGCUUCACCCUUCCGCUUAGUCGCUGCGUAAUGCUUUAUAUGAC